ACUCCGGUGGUGUAGUGAUAGCACGCCUCCCUAGCAUGGGUGAAACACGGAUUCAACUCCCGUCUGAGAUU